rnacentral:tRNA from 1 species
GCCUCCGUAGCUCAGUUGAAUAGAGCGACCCCCUCCUAAGGGGUAGGUCGCAGGUUUGAGUCCUGCCGGGGGCACCA